AUGUUCUUCUCCCCCUUCCUGUACCUUCCAUCCCACUCCUCCUCCUCCAAUUCGACCCUCCCCUCCCGCCCCCCCCGCCUAAAAAUCCAGUCUUGCUUAGGGACCGUCCUUCCUCGGAAGCGGAGAUCCUCGUCGGGAGGGGAUCCCCCGUCGCCGGAUCAAGUGCGCCGGCUGGAUCUUGCAAAUCCCUCCCCACCUCUAGCCUUAGCUUUAGCUUCGCUUGGCGUUGCUCCUUGCUCUGUUACCGCGGUCGUCGCCGGUGUCGUGUUGUUGUUUAUUGUAGUACUACGCUUCUACUCUUGCUUGCUUACUGCGUGCGAGCCAUGGUUGUGGUGGGUGGAAGCAUAG
rnacentral:rRNA from 1 species